GAUGAACGCUGGCGGCGUGCCUAACACAUGCAAGUCGAGCGAACAGACGAGGAGCUUGCUCCUCUGACGCUAGCGGCGGAUGGGUGAGUAACACGUGGAUAACCUACCUAUAAGACUGGGAUAACUUCGGGAAACCGGAGCUAAUACCGGCCAAUAUAUUUAACCGCAUGGUUCAAUAGUGAAAGACGGUUUUGUUGUCACUUAUAGACGGACCCGCGCCGCAUUAGCUAGUUGGUAAGGUAACGGCUUACCAAGGCAACGAUGCGUAGCCGACCUGAGAGGGCGAUCGGCCACACUGGAACUGAGACACGGCCCAGACUCCUACGGGAGGCAGCAGUGGGGAAUCUUCCGCAAUGGGCGAAAGCCUGACGGAGCAACGCCGCGUGAGUGAUGAAGGUCUUCGGAUCGUAAAACGCUGUUAUUAGGGAAGAACAAAUGUGUGAGUAACGAUGCGAGUCUUAAGGGAACCUAAGAAGAAGGCCCGGGCAAACUAGUU
rnacentral:rRNA from 1 species